AUAUACAAAUACGACUAAUCCUUUGUUGUUACAUAUACAUAUACACAUAUCUACCUAUCUAUCUAUUAUUUAGGUUUUUUGUAAUUAAUGCAAAAAGUUUUAAAUUGGCUACAUUACAUUUUGUUAGAAUAUAUAAAUUCAUAAUAUACAUUAGGUGUUUACUAGAAUGGCUUCCUCAAAUUAACCCACACCUGGUCCCAUUUGUUUACGUUUUCACCUACACAAAUAGUUAUGUUCAGUUUUUUCAUAAAUAUAUUCCCAGCAUCUAUGGUAUAGAUUUGAGUGGAGUGUUUUCUUGGCUGUUUUUAGAAAUGCUAGAGAAUGUUUUAUCGUAAAAAUUAUUACUUUUAAAAUAUAUUUUAUUUUAAAAAAAAAAGAAAAAAAAAGUAGCACUUACCAAUUUUCUUAAAUAUUUUUAUAUUUGUUUUACCUACAUGUGUGUAAUAAAAAGCAACUGUAAUUUUUAGUUUGCCA
rnacentral:lncRNA from 1 species